rnacentral:rRNA from 1 species
UACAGAGGUGCCAAGCGUUAGGCGGAAUUACUGGGCUUAAAGCGCGUGUAGGUGGGUCGUUAAGUGUCCGCGUGAAAUCCCACGGCUCAACCGUGGAACUGCCGGGCAUACUGGCGAUCUUGAGGCAUUCAGGGGCGAGCGGAACAAAUGGUGGAGCGGUGAAAUGCGUAGAUAUCAUUUGGAACGCCAAUGGUGAAAACAGCUCGCUGGGAAUGAUCUGACACUGAGACGCGAAAGCCAGGGGAGCGAACGGG